rnacentral:rRNA from 1 species
GAUGAACGCUGGCGGCGUGCCUAAUACAUGCAAGUCGAGCGAACGGACGAGAAGCUUGCUUUUCUGAUGUUAGCGGCGGACGGGUGAGUAACACGUGGAUAACCUACCUAUAAGACUGGGAUAACUUCGGGAAACCGGAGCUAAUACCGGAUAAUAUUUUGAACCGCAUGGUUCAAAAGUGAAAGACGGUCUUGCUGUCACUUAUAGAUGGAUCCGCGCUGCAUUAGCUAGUUGGUAAGGUAACGGCUUACCAAGGCAACGAUGCAUAGCCGACCUGAGAGGGUGAUCGGCCACACUGGAACUGAGACACGGUCCAGACUCCUACGGGAGGCAGCAGUGGGGAAUCUUCCGCAAUGGGCGAAAGCCUGACGGAGCAACGCCGCGUGAGUGAUGAAGGUCUUCGGAUCGUAAAACUCUGUUAUUAGGGAAGAAAAUAUGUGUAAGUAACUGUGCACAUCUUGACGGUACCUAAUCAGAAAGCCACGGCUAACUACGUG